rnacentral:RNase_P_RNA from 1 species
GAAGCUGACCAGACAGUCGCCGCUUCGUCGUCGUCCUUUCGGGGAGACGGGCGGAGGGGAGGAAAGUCCGGGCUCCAUAGGGCAGGGUGCCAGGUAACGCCUGGGGGGGGAAACCCACGACCAGUGCAACAGAGAGCAAACCGCCGAUGGCCCACGCAAGUGGGAGCAGGUAAGGGUGAAAGGGUGCGGUAAGAGCGCACCGCGCGGCUGGUAACAGUCCGUGGCACGGUAAACUCCACCCGGAGCAAGGCCAAAUAGGGGUUCAUAAGGUACGGCCCGUACUGAACCCGGGUAGGCUGCUUGAGCCAGUGAGCGAUUGCUGGCCUAGAUGAAUGACUGUCCACGACAGAACCCGGCUUAUCGGUCAGUUUCACUU